rnacentral:lncRNA from 1 species
AUCAUGGUUGGUACAGGGUGCGGGAGAAAUCCUCGUUCUCCCCGCAGAAAUACUGACAUUCUAUCGGACAUGGUUCUUUCAUAAACUAGGUCUAUAUGUCAUAAAACAAAACGCAGUUAUUUUACAGUAAUUCCGGAAUAUACACUACUAUCGUGCGUAUCAUCUGUUGUGGAUACAGAAACAUUGUGCCAGUAGAAAAUUACAAUCUGCCCUCAAGGAAGUUAUCAUGUGCCCAGACAGUGUAUGAGACUAAAUUGCUUGUCAUAGCCGGUCACUCAAAGCUAAUGACUGCCUCUGCUCUCUCAUUACGCCUGUUGAUGGUGAAUUAUGGCCGCUGUUGAUACAAAAGGGAAUUUAUGCCAGGAACUCAACUGUUUCUAAGCAGAUUCUCCUCCUCUGCCGUGUGCAGGGU